GACGAACGCUGGCGGCGUGCCUAAUACAUGCAAGUAGAACGCACAGUUUAUACCGUAGCUUGCUACACCAUAGACUGUGAGUUGCGAACGGGUGAGUAACGCGUAGGUAACCUGCCUGGUAGCGGGGGAUAACUAUUGGAAACGAUAGCUAAUACCGCAUAAUAUUGAUUAUUGCAUGAUAAUUGAUUGAAAGAUGCUAUUGCAUCACUACCAGAUGGACCUGCGUUGUAUUAGCUAGUAGGUGAGGUAACGGCUCACCUAGGCGACGAUACAUAGCCGACCUGAGAGGGUGGGCGGCCACACUGGGACGGAGACACGGCCCAGACUCCUACGGGAGGCAGCAGUAGGGAAUCUUCGGCAAUGGACGAAAGACUGACCGAGAAACGCCGCGGGAGGGAAGAAGGUUGUCGGAUCGUAAAGCUCGGUUGUAAGAGAAGAACGGGUGUGAGAGUGGAAAGUUCACACUGUGACGGUAGCUUACCAGAAAGGGACGGCUAACUACGUG
rnacentral:rRNA from 1 species